UCACAAAUGAAAUGGUCAUGCAUACAUAUCCAAUAUAUUACAAGUUCACAACAAUAACAAACCGAUCAUGAGUUCAAAGUCCACACACGCAUACAUAUCUAACAUAGUUUCACAAAAACACACAUACAUAUUCAAGGAGGGUUCACAACAUGUGUACAUAUGCAACAAGAGUUAACAAACAAAAGCAUGAGUUCAACCUACAAUAUGCAAUGAGCUUCCACC
rnacentral:lncRNA from 1 species